rnacentral:rRNA from 1 species
CAGCCGCCGCGGUAAAACCAGCACCUCAAGUGGUCAGGAUGAUUAUUGGGCCUAAAGCAUCCGUAGCCGGCUCUAUAAGUUUUCGGUUAAAUCUGUACGCUCAACGUACAGGCUGCCGGGAAUACUGCAGAGCUAGGGAGUGGGAGAGGUAGACGGUACUCGGUAGGAAGGGGUAAAAUCCUUUGAUCUAUUGAUGACCACCUGUGGCGAAGGCGGUCUACCAGAACACGUCCGACGGUGAGGGAUGAAAGCUGGGGGAGCAAACCGGAUUAGAUACCCGGGUAGUCCCAGCUGUAAACUAUGCAAACUCAGUGAUGCAUUGACUUGUGGUCAAUGCAGUGCUGCAGGGAAGCCGUUAAGUUUGCCGCCUGGGAAGUACGUACGCAAGUAUGAAACUUAAAGGAAUUGGCGGGGGAGC